rnacentral:rRNA from 1 species
UACGUAGGGUGCAGGCGUUAAUCGGAAUUACUGGGCGUAAAGCGUGCGCAGGCGGCUCCUUAAGUCAGAUGUGAAAGCCCCGGGCUUAACCUGGGAACUGCGUUUGAGACUGGGGAGCUAGAGUGUAGAAGAGGGGGGUGGAAUUCCAGGUGUAGCAGUGAAAUGCGUAGAGAUCUGGAGGAACACCGAUGGCGAAGGCAGGUCUCUGGGCUGACACUGACGCUCAUGCACGAAAGCGUGGGGAGCAAACAGG